CGAUACCAACUCUCACAUACAGCAAGAGCCAGGACCAUCUUUGGAAGAGCAUUUUACCUCUGCACUCAACCUAAGAGAUCUAUAAGGGAAGGGAGAACUCAAAUUAUCCCCGUUGCAGACAAUUUGAGCCUAUACUUAAAAGACCUUGAAGAUUCCACCAGAAUACUCUUCUAGAUGAUAAAAACUUUCAGGAAAAUAACAUGUUACAAAAAUCAAUAUACCAGAACCACUGGGGGAGCAGUGAGAUGGCUCAG